rnacentral:rRNA from 1 species
UACGUAGGCAGCAAGCGUUGUUCGGAAUUACUGGGCGUAAAGCGCGUGUAGGCGGCCCGGUAAGUCCGCUGUGAAAGUCGGGGGCUCAACCCUCGAAAGCCGGUGGAUACUGUCGGGCUAGAGUACGGAAGAGGCGAGUGGAAUUCCUGGUGUAGCGGUGAAAUGCGCAGAUAUCAGGAGGAACACCCAUUGCGAAGGCAGCUCGCUGGGACGUUACUGACGCUGAGACGCGAAAGCGUGGGGAGCAAACAGG